rnacentral:lncRNA from 1 species
CUCUCUCUCUCUCCAGUUAUUUUUAAUGUGGUGUAAAUUCGGCCCGCCUCAAAGAUUUUCGAGCUUGGGUGGGUCCAGUCCAAGUCGGGCUCCCGUCACAGUUUUAGAUCACCUAGUCCGAGCCAUUUGAAAAAUGCCCAAGCCAAGGCUUAACCCACGACUCUAGGAUGUUUGGGCUUUGGGAUCCGGCUCGGGAUUGGGUUUGGUUUUUGGCAUAGUCAAAGCUCGGGCUUUCAUGCUUUGGCCAAAAAUUUACAUAAUUUUCUUUUUUUAUUUUGGCACUAAAGAUUGAUCAUUUGUUUGUUUGUUUCAGUCUAGGCGGGAAGGGGCUUCAGGCGAGCUCAAUUGGGAAGGCGACGUUUGUACCUCUAACAAGUAGGUAGGCCCUUCACUCAUCGACCAAUAUUGUGUAGUAACCGUGGAAUUCAAUGCGAUGUUGGGAAGCGUGGUAUAUUCUAAUUAGAAAAAGAGGCACGUUUGCAUAAACAACGCAGGUGAGUGAUAAGCGUGUGGCACUUCGGGUUAACCCGGCCCCAAUCGAGAUGUUCUUCACUGGUGUCAAAAUUCCAUCAUCCCUCUCCACUAUUGUAAUUAAAGCCAUUUUGGUCCUAUGUCAAUCUUUUACCAUUGAAUUCAUUUUCGGAAAAGUUUCCAUGGGUGACUUUGCAAAUUUAGCUUUUCCAAAACUUAUACCAAAUUGCAAACCAAUCACUAGGCAAGGUUUUUCCAAAAUCGAUCGAGAUGGAUUUUUAAAACAUGUAGCCAUAAGAUUGCCGUUGGCUAAAGUUUGUUUUGUCAAUAAAGAUGUUCGAAGGCUGUAUUUCAAUCAGGAAUUUAUAGAGAUAAAAUAAAAAAGUAUAUCUUUGUAAAAAAUUUAUAGAAGGAUUUGUAAAAUCGCGUCAGGAAUUUUAUUGAGGAAGCAAAUGAAAUGAAGAGUUAAUAAAUACUUUGUCCAGGAAUUUUGUUCCCAUGCAGGAUUUCCAUUUCCUGGUAAAUAAUAUCCAUGGUUUCCUGGUCCUGAACCAGAGUGAGAUAUCAGAUUCCACCUUCAUGGAUAAUUCUAGGAGAGGUGUGUACGGUCCUGCUCAGGUUGGCUUAGAUUUUUAGCUGUUUGUAGGCCAAAACAGCCCAGUUCUUUUCCCCAGUUUGGUUUGAUUUGUUUUGGUUUGACAAAUAAUUUUUUAGCAUGUUUUUUCGGGACUUAGAUUGUUUUAGUAAAUCCAACAAGCAAGCAAGGAAUAAUCUUUUACAAAUUUAUGACUAAAAGAUCAUAUGAUUUUUUAGUCAUCCCAAGUAAAAAAAAAAAAUUGAGUUUUUUCUCACUUGUUAAAUCAAGGAGUCGGAUGUUAUUCACCCACUUGUCUACUUAUGAUGGCUAUGUUGCUGGCACAAAACGAGUUACGUACUCUGUCAACAUCAAACACACACACAAGACAAGAUUAUGUGGUUUCGCCAAACAAUGACCUACGUCCACGGAGAUGAUCUGAUAAUUCCACUAUCUCAGGAAUGAAUUACAAUGAAUAAAAAGGAGGAGAUCACACUCAACGCACUCAAUCAUCUCAUUCUCAAUCUCUCAGUCUUGCUUCUUCUCUACAGCCUCUCACUCUGGAUGCUUUAAGAGUUAUCUACACUGCCCUGCACUAUACUCUCUCUCUGGCAAACCAUCUCAAUUAAAGCCUCAGAGCAAAGAGAUGAGCUCAUGGCUGAGUACAUUCGUGCCUCCAUUCUUUGACCAUGGCGAGCCUCCAUUCUGCGAACGCUCGUAGCCGCAUCAACUUCUCUCUCUGUCUUCUUUCCUUCUCCCUUUCCAUUUACAUCUAGAAGGAAGAAGGAAGAAGGAAGAUUGGCAAUGGGGCUUGGCUUGGGCUUCAAUUGGCUGGUCCAAACAAUCUCCCCAUCCACCCAUUGGGAGGGUUAAUUUGAAAGCUUCAAGUUAGCAAUCCCGACAACUCUGAUCCGCUCCCCCGUAAGAUCUGCAAGACGUUAUCCGAGAUACCUUUCCAUUCAUCAAUGGGGCAACGCACUUCCAGACUGAAGGCCUGCACCUCUUCAUUAGGUGCCUUGCUCUCCCUCACCGGAGAGAGCCGAAAGUACAUCACUUUGCGGUCGUCGUGGUCCCCUCUCCUCCCGGGUACAUAUUUGAAGAGAUCACUGCCACAUAAUCAAAUCGAGCGCGAAAGAGACUCGUUUCGGCGACGUCACGCCUGUCGAUGUACAAUCGUCAAAACGACUUUGUUUCCUUCCUCUGGGUUUUCCUAUGGACAUCUGCAACGGUCGAACCGUUUGUCUGAUCAAACCUUCCGCACGUGUCUCAAAGCAUUCCUUGCGCUCUUGUACACUCUGGCUCUCUAGGUGUUCCUGCGCUUGCUUUGUGGUGCCUGUGUGCACCUGUGCUUCCCUGGUCCAUAUGCCUUCGUAUAUCACUGGACCAUGUCGGACCUUUUCUUUUUUUUCUCAGCUAUCUGUUCUGAACAACUCCCCUCCAGUCGAUAUAGUCCUC